rnacentral:rRNA from 1 species
UAGCAUAUCAAUAAGCGGAGGAAAAGAAACCAACAGGGAUUGCCCCAGUAACGGCGAGUGAAGCGGCAACAGCUCAAAUUUGAAAUCUGGCCCCCUCGGGGUCCGAGUUGUAAUUUGCAGAGGACGCUUCGGCGUUGGCCCCGGUCUAAGUCCCUUGGAACAGGGCGUCACAGAGGGUGAGAAUCCCGUACGUGGCCGGUGGCCCUCGCCAUGUGAAGCUCCUUCGACGAGUCGAGUUGUUUGGGAAUGCAGCUCUAAAUGGGAGGUAAAUUUCUUCUAAAGCUAAAUACCGGCCAGAGACCGAUAGCGCACAAGUAGAGUGAUCGAAAGAUGAAAAGCACUUUGGAAAGAGAGUCAAAAAGUACGUGAAAUUGUUGAAAGGGAAGCGCUCGCAACCAGACCCGCCCGCGGUCGCUCAUCCAGGCUCCCGCCUGGUGCACUCUUCCGCGGUCGGGCCAGCAUCGGUUUGGGCGGUCGGACAAAGGCGGUGGGAAUGUGGCUCCCCUCGGGGAGUGUUAUAGCCCGCCGCGCAAUGCGGCCAGCCCGGACCGAGGUCCGCGCUCCGGCUAGGAUGCUGGCUUAAUGGUUGUGAGCGGCCCGUCUUGAAACACGGACCAAGGAGUGUAACAUCUGUGCGAGUGUUUGGGUGUCAAGCCCGGGCGCGCAAUGAAAGUGAACGGAGGCGGGAACCCUCCGGGGCGCACCGUCGACCGAUCCUGAUGUCUUCGGAUGGAUUUGAGUAAGAGCACAGCUGUUGCGACCCGAAAGAUGGUGAUCUAUGCCUGAAUAGGGUGAAGCCAGAGGAAACUCUGGUGGAGGCUCGCAGCGGUUCUGACGUGCAAAUCGAUCGUCAAAUUUGGGCAUAGGGGCGAAAGACUAAU